rnacentral:rRNA from 1 species
AUUGAACGCUGGCGGCAGGCUUAACACAUGCAAGUCGAACGGUAACAGGGAUUAGCUUGCUAAUUUGCUGACGAGUGGCGGACGGGUGAGUAAUGCUUGGGAAUCUGGCUUAUGGAGGGGGAUAACUACGGGAAACUGUAGCUAAUACCGCGUAAAAUCUUCGGAUUAAAGGGUGGGACUUUCGGGCCACCUGCCAUGAGAUGAGCCCAAGUGGGAUUAGGUAGUUGGUUAGGUAAAGGCUGACCAAGCCGACGAUCUCUAGCUGGUUGAGAGGAUGACCAGCCACACUGGAACUGAGACACGGUCCAGACUCCUACGGGAGGCAGCAGUGGGGAAUAUUGCACAAUGGGGGGAACCCUGAUGCAGCCAUGCCGCGUGAAUGAAGAAGGCCUUCGGGUUGUAAAGUUCUUUCGGUGACGAGGAAGGUUGGUAUGUUAAUAGCAUAUCAAA